UACGGAGGGUCCAAGCGUUAUCCGGAUUUAUUGGGUUUAAAGGGUGCGUAGGCGGGUUUGUAAGUCAGUGGUGAAAUCCUGGGGCUCAACUCCAGAACUGCCAUUGAUACUGCAAGUCUAGAGUACAGAUGAGGUAGGCGGAAUGUAGCAUGUAGCGGUGAAAUGCUUAGAUAUGCUACAGAACACCGAUUGCGAAGGCAGCUUACUAACAUGUAACUGACGCUGAGGGACGAAAGCGUGGGGAGCGAACAGG
rnacentral:rRNA from 1 species